rnacentral:rRNA from 1 species
GUUUGAUCCGUGGCUCGAGGAUGAACGCUGGCGGCGCGCCUAACACAUGCAAGUCGAACGGAGUUAUCUUAUUAGAUCCCUCGGGGUGAAGAUUUUUUAACUAGUGGCGAACGGGUGAGUAACGCGUGAGUAACCUGCCUUCAAGAGGGGGACAACAGUUGGAAACGACUGCUAAUACCGCAUAAGCGCACAGUAUCGCAUGAUACCGUGUGAAAAGCCGAGACGGUAUAAGAUGGACCCGCGUCUGAUUAGCUAGUUGGUGGGGUAACGGCCCACCAAGGCGACGAUCAGUAGCCGACCUGAGAGGGUNACCGGCCACAUUGGGACUGAGACACGGCCCAAACUCCUACGGGAGGCAGCAGUGGGGAAUAUUGCACAAUGGGCGAAAGCCUGAUGCAGCGACGCCGCGUGAGUGAUGAAGUAUUUCGGUAUGUAAAGCUCUAUCAGCAGGGAAGAAAAAUGACGGUACCUGACUAAGAAGCACCGGCUAAAUACGUG